CAGACUAACUGCACCCUGACAUCAAGAAGAUGGAGGAAGAGGAUGGAGCAGGAUCUGCAGCAUCCAGCUGUGUGUCUGUGAGGAGUGACUGGUCCAAAGAAGAACCUCCAGAGUUCAGUAAUGAACCUGCAGCAACAAUAGCUUCUGCACAGUGUGGAGAAAGAUCCAGAAGCAGAGCUGGACUGCAGACAGCCAGUCAGAGCAGCUGUGUACAAACAGAUGUUGGUCUGCAGGAGGUUUUAGAUGAACAUAAGAUCAGUCUGAGGAGGAGA